AUCUCGGACGCGAUAUUCGUGAAUUUAUUUCUAAAGCGGCGCACAAUGAUAAUCUUCCCUUGCGCAAAGGAUUUCGCGUCUCGUAAUCGCGAUUAAGACCCGCAAAUACCUUAAUUUAAAGUCGUCUCAAGAAUAAGCAAUCAUGAACGAACUACUCACCUGAACCAUUGAUGUGUGUUGGCACGCGAGACAGACCUCCCCGCUUGGCGGCAGUCUGAUGGUGAAAUCAGUCCGUGCCAACCCCUGUCGUUGGCCUUGCACCCCGUGCAUUCAGCAUCAGGUCGCGCACAACACAACUGCACGCACGCACGCACGGUCAAUCUUAAUCUGGACGUGAUAAAUCUAUUCGGGAUGCAUCGCUAAUUCACGCGCAACGGCUUCUAUACAGGCAGCUCGUGGCGCCGCGACUACUAGUCGUCACCCACCUUGCGGAUCGUCGAGAAUUUCACUAUCGAUUUGCCCCUCGAUAGAUUUCUACGUUUACUAGGAGAAUCAAAAGUGGAUACAAUUUAUGUAUUUCGAACAUAAUUUGUUCACAGUUUCACUUAGAUUACUUUGGAAAAUAUACUUUUGUAAAAAUUAUCUCGUUUUUAAAUAAGGGUCAAAAAUGAUGCUGAGGUUAGUGAGUUAAGAUAGGAAUAGUUAGAAAUGAAUAUCGAAUAAGUUGUAUCGAUAGUAUUUGACAGACUAAAUAUAAAACAUUAUUUUUUUUUAUUAAUACAAAGAAUUUAUUUAAAAUUUUUCUAUUCACAAAUUAUAUUAUUAUUAUUUGAUCAAUUCACAAACUGUAGUUGUCAUUUUAUCGUUUGUAAUUUCUAUUUCAAAAUUAUAUAUAAAUCUAUAUAAUUAUUACAUACGUACGUAUAUAUUAAUAUAUUCACGGAAUACUUUCAAUUCUAGAGAUAACAAAUAUACAUAAUUGAUGUACAAAAAUAUCAAUUUAUUAAGUCGUAAGCAAUUAUAUUAGAUGAAACAAGAUUAUCGUUCUAUCUUCAUCUCGUUCUAAUGCGAAAUUAAAUUGUUAAUUUUAAUAAAUCAAUCUCAAUUAGCAUUUAUGCCAAUUUUUAUAUUUGUUUUGAUCUUUAUAUAUCUUAAUACUUUGCAUAUACAAUAUACAAUACACACUCACAAAAUUAGUUUCUCUUUUUCUCUCUUUCGAAAGAUUAUAUAUAUGCAUAUAUCAUAUCGUGAUGUAUCAUAUCGAUAUUAUGAAUAUGAUAUUAGAGAUUUAAUUUCGAUAUAGAUAUACUUUUGUCAUUAUAAAUGAAAUAAAAGAUUCAUUUAUCGCAUAUUUUUUAUUAAAUUUCGCUUUCUUAUAUUUUUAUUAAAUUUAUGUUAUAAUCGUGCCACAAUUAUGCCACGAUUCAUAUCACGAAAUGAAUUCGAUUUCAAUUUAAUUAAUGCAGAUAAAAUUCAAUUUCACUACUUUAAUACUUUCACGCACGAAUUUCGUACGUUUUAAAGGGAAUCCUUCCGAUAUCCUUUAAAUAAAUGUCGGUUCGCAUUCAAUUUAACUUCCGUUCAACGUUUAAAACCUUAGGAAAGCCUGGACAGGUGUUAUCGUAUUUGCAUUUCUCCUAUCCCUAAGAAAACACGUUAAAACUCGAACUUGAUAAUAACAGUCUGCCUCGCGGAAAUUAAAUAGCCGCGUCAGAAUCAAACUUUCCAGACUGUUGCUGCCAGACGUUGCAUGUUCAGGUUUGUCAAAAAUUUCACGAAUUUCUCGACAGAAACAAUUAACAAACAAUUCAAUCUUAAAUUAUUAAAAAAUUGUAAAAAAAAAAUGAACCAAAAGUUUUCGUAAGUUUUUUCUUUUUUUUAACUUUUCACAAAGUUAACUUCAUACAAAUCCGAGAUUAUAUAUUCAUGAGACCGUCCCAAUAAAUAAAUGUAUUAAACAAGAGUGGUAGUUCUUUGAUCUCUAUAAUCGCUAAAUUCUUUUCAUCCGGAUAAUUCAGUGGAUGAUUGCGGAUAAAAAUGGUCUGCUUGGUUUGCCCAGUGAAGUCUUAAUAUGGCUUAGAAUUUCUGGCACUGCCAUGUACUCGAGACGUCAAAAACCGUUGAAUAAUUUCUGAAUUCGCCUACCGGUUCGUGCAUUCCCUGGUGUAUCAUAUGGUCUAGUUGCUGGUAUGAAUGGAAAAGUAUACAUAGUUAUGCGUGACUGAAUGUAUAAGUGUCGCCUUAGUGGCUGGAAUCCACUAUGACCCU